rnacentral:rRNA from 1 species
AGCCUUCAGCCAGCCAAGUAUUGAAGGUGAUGCCUGCCCAGUGACAUAUGUUCAACGGCCGCGGUAUCCUAACCGUGCGAAGGUAGCGCAAUCAAUUGUCCCAUAAAUCGAGACUUGUAUGAACGGCUAAACGAGGUCCUAACUGUCUCUUACAGAUAAUCAGUGAAAUUGAUCUCCCUGUGAAAAAGCAGGAAUGAAUCCAUAAGACGAGAAGACCCUGUGGAACUUUAAAAUCAGCAGCCACCCCACAAACAACCAUAAGCCUGCUAGGCUCACUACCCAAAAACAUUGGCCUGCAUUUUUCGGUUGGGGCGACCUUGGAGAAAAGCAAAUCCUCCAAAAAUAAGACCACACCUCUUAACCAAGAGCAACACCUCUACGUACUAAUAGUAACCAGACCCAAUACAAUUGAUUAAUGAACCAAGCUACCCCAGGGAUAACAGCGCAAUCUCCUUCGAGAGCCCAUAUCGACAAGGAGGUUUACGACCUCGAUGUUGGAUCAGGACAUCCUAAUGGUGCAGCCGCUAUUAAGGGUUCGUUUGUUCAACGAUUAACAGUCCU